GAGUUUUGGAGAGCUGGGACAGUACCUGUUUUCAUGCUUGCCUACCAUGAGAGGGCCCCAGGACGGGCGUCCAGCUUUUCUCCUUCCUGCCUGACACGCCUUGAACGUCUCAGCUUGGUUUGCCCCAUAGCUGGCUACCUAGCCCCUUCAAUGACUGUUACCACCAGACCGCUAGAGCUGCACACGUUGGCCACCUUAUGACACGGGGCGCCUGCUGCUGCUGCUGCUGCUGCUGCUGGGAUGGUUCUGCAGCGACCACUUCUGCCUCUCCUGCUUCCUUCUCUGGGUCACAGCAAGGAGUCAAGGCCUCUCGAGAGCAGUUGUUUGGGGGAACCUAAUGCUGCAAUACGAGAGUGCCCCACCUGGGCUGGUAGUCCUGGGCGCUGUAAGAAAGCCAGUAGAGCAAGCCAGUGUGAGCAGCCCUGUCCUGACUUCCUUCAGUGAUGGACUCUAUCGUAGAACUAUGGUCUAAAUGGCCCCAGCUGCAGUGGAAGAAGUCUUGAAUGCCCUCCCGAGGAAGAGACAAGGGAAGGGAGACAACUGAAUUCGCUUUUUCCCUCGGCUGAUUAAGGGAAGGCACUUUUGGGGGUGAUCCUGGUGGCUGAGAGACUCUGAUGAGACAUGAAAGGUAAUCCUCCAUAUACCUAUGUAUUGGUACAAUGUGGCCACCAAUCCUGAACUUAAAACUUGGGAAGCAGAGGCAACAAACCUAAAUUUAAGCCCCACUUGUGCUACCUACAAAGACCUUGUUACAAACCCAAACAGAACAGAACAAGAGGAAAUCCUUGAAAUUUUGUUCAUAUUCUAUCAAGGCCAUUGGAUCCUCUGGGAAGGACUUGUGAGCGCUUCUGAGCUUCCUUGGGAGUACGGAAAUCAACCAGGUCUCCCGGAAGAGCAGCCAGUGAAUGUUGAGUUGUCUCUUCAGCCCUGGUGCUAUAUUUUUUAAAAUCAAUUCAGGUGGUUGUAAAACACAGAAAAUAUUACUACUGUAGAGUUUCAAAAUCAGAAACAAAUAAUGGAUGUGAGUCUUCCCGCUGUUUUAUUUAGUUUCAAUGGAAUGGCACCGUAGAUGGAAAGUCACGUGGGCGAGAAGCAGUUUGCCCAGCCAAAUGCUGGUGAAAGACAGGGUACAGUUUCCUGCACUCCUGCGGGAGCACAUUUACAAUAUUGUUUUGGUGGCCUAGCUUUUUAUAUACCCAGACAGCAAACACUUAUUUCUUUAUCGACACAAAAUAGAUUGAUUAUACUACCUGUCAAAAUUAUUGCCUAGUAGGGAAACUCAGGAUAUUUCUUUUCUGAUUCUUAGUACUUUGCAAGACUGUAUAGUGAGUCAUUGUGACUCCCACACAGCUUAGAAGUAACUGAAGGCCACAUUUUAUGACUUGUGCAUGGAAAAUAACAGAUGCACAGUGCACACACAGAGAUGAGAGUGGGCUCCAGCUCAAGCAGCUGUAGCUUCCUGUUGGCUGUAAGUCCAGCUCUGCUGGUAUGGAAGCUAAGGCAGUCUAGACCACCGUCUGCUGUGGGGCUAAGGCAGUCUAGACCACCGUCUGCUGUGGGGCUAAGGCAGUCUAGACCACCGUCUGCUGUGGGGCUAAGGCAGUCUAGACCACUGUCUGCUGUGGGGCUAAGGCAGUCUAGACCACUGUCUGCUGCGAGGGCUAAGGCAGUCUAGACCACUGUCUACUGUGGGGCUAAGGCAGUCUAGACCACUGUCUGCUGUGGGGCUAAGACAGU